UACAGAGGUCCCAAGCGUUGUUCGGAUUCACUGGGCGUAAAGGGCGCGUAGGUGGUCGGGUAAGUCUGAUGUGAAAGCUCUGGGCUCAACCCAGAAAUGGCAGUGGAUACUAUCUGGCUAGAGGAAUGGAGGGGGGACUGGAAUACUUGGUGUAGCAGUGAAAUGCGUAGAUAUCAAGUGGAACACCAGUGGCGAAGGCGAGUCCCUGGACAUUUCCUGACACUGAGGCACGAAAGCUAGGGGAGCAAACAGG
rnacentral:rRNA from 1 species